CCCAGUAUUUAUGCUGAGCAGGGCCUCAGGUGGAGAGAACUAAGGUCACCCUCAGGGAAUUUCUUGCUGAAUUAGGUUCCAUUAAGCUUUGAAAUCAAAAUGCUUCUGAAAUCUGGAUGGAGAAGCAGUAUUUAUCUCAAAGAGAUGUGGACCUACAGGCUUAUUUCACUAGGAAUCACACCGUUUUGCAAGGUACUCGAUUCAAAAGAGCCAUUUUCCAAGGGCAAUACUGUAGAAAUUUUGGCUGUUGUGAAGACAGAGAUGAUGGCUGUGUCACUGAGUUCUAUGCGGCGAAUGCGUUGUGCUACUGUGAUAAAUUCUGUGACAGAGAAAAUUCUGAUUGCUGUCCUGACUACAAGUCCUUUUGCCGUGAAGAGAAAGAAUGGCCUCCUCACACACAGCCUUGGUAUCCAGAAGGUUGCCUCAAAGAUGGUCAACAUUACGAAGAGGGAUCAGUAAUUAAAGAAAACUGCAACUCCUGCACAUGCUCAGGACAGCAAUGGAAGUGUUCCCAGCACGUAUGCCUUGUUCGUCCAGAAUUAAUUGAACAGGUCAAUAAAGGAGACUAUGGAUGGACAGCACAGAAUUACAGCCAAUUUUGGGGCAUGAC
rnacentral:sRNA from 1 species